UAUAAUUGAAAACGUUCAUAUCAAUUUCUCUAUCAAAUUUUGUACAAAUUGAACUUCAUUUCGCGUACUUUGUGUAUUACACCUAUCCACACGUAUGUACAUACUUGUACGAAAAUACGCAAUAUCUUUUUUCUUAUAUAGAUGUGAACUUUCCUUAAUUAAUCCCAACUCCCUUCAGCUCUUGUUGUGCGAAGUUAAUUCACAGUUAUCUAAUCGAAAGGAAGACCGGAAAAAAAAUAGAAAAUAUUAAAAAUAAUUUAAUAAUUGCCAAACACCGUUACAUGUAUUACACAAUGUGCACGUGACAUAUUAUUGGAAAUCAUCUAAACUUUUGUGAAUGUUGAGAUUAGCCAGCGUCAGUUUUUUAAUUAAGUCCAAUAUAACGUAUAUACUUGCAGCGACAUCGAAGAAACAAAUAAACGUUAAUAUUAUCCCUAUAUAAUGCGUGUUUAUUCGAUUUGUAUAAAAAUAAUGAGUAAUAUUAAUGGUAUAAUGAUAAUAGAAAGACUUUAUAAUCGUUAUAAUAAAAGGAUGCGAUUUAAUUAUCUGCGCCGCAAUGCGCGAGAAUUGAAAAUUUUUCUGUUCGCUUUUGUGAGAAAAUACAUAUUGGCGUUGUAACAAAAGUUAACGAAUUCACAAUAUUGAUUUUCAUGUUCCUGUGUGGCAGGUCUCAUCAUUCAAAGACUUUUCGACGAUACAAUGACACGCGCAUGGAAGCCAACACAAAUUAAAGUAAAUUGUUAUAUGAAAAAAGUUUAUUGUAUAUGAAGCUACUGUGAUGUUACCGUUGAAUAUAAUAAAUAUACAUACAAUAUA